UGGGGAAUUUUGGACAAUGGGGGAAACCCUGAUCCAGCCAUCCCGCGUGUGCGAUGAAGGCCUUCGGGUUGUAAAGCACUUUUGGCAGGAAAGAAACGUCAUGGGUUAAUACCCCGUGAAACUGACGGUACCUGCAGAAUAAGCACCGGCUAACUACGUGCCAGCAGCCGCGGUAAUACGUAGGGUGCAAGCGUUAAUCGUAAUUACUGGGCGUAAAGCGUGCGCAGGCGGUUCGGAAAGAAAGAUGUGAAAUCCCAGAGCUCAACUUUGGAACUGCAUUUUUAACUACCGGGCUAGAGUGUGUCAGAGGGAGGUGGAAUUCCGCGUGUAGCAGUGAAAUGCGUAGAUAUGCGGAGGAACACCGAUGGCGAAGGUAGCCUCCUGGGAUAACACUGACGCUCAUGCACGAAAGCGUGGGGAGCAAACAGG
rnacentral:rRNA from 1 species